ACUCGCGGAUGAGCUCGUUGAUUAGAAGGUUGUCGUGCGACAGCGCAGGACGCGGCUCGCUCUGAUCGUCGAGCGCAUUGAACACCUCAGCUCUGAUCCGAGCCUUCAGCUGACCCAACACACCUCGAGACUCCAGGCUCUCUCUCAGAGCUGGGAGAGAAGAUAAGUUGUUGAAAAUGCUAUCAUAAAAACCUCUGCAACUUGUGGGGACAUAUUGAUAACGUAGACUUAAGGGUGAUGCCUUUCAGUGCCCAGUCCAGGCCCUUGCGGUACUGCAGUCCAUAGUCUUGGAACUCUAUAGUGCCAGUCUGAGGCCAGGCCAGAGGCAGGGAACUUCCCUCCACGGUCCACACAGCCUGGCUUUAUUAAAAAAACAUCUGAAAACGGAACAAUGUACACCAGUCACCACAUCAACUGGAUAUAUUAUUUUGCCAGAGCAUGUACUGCAAGGUGAAUGUGUUGUUUCUAUCAAACCUAACCUGGUGGCCACAAAGCGGGGGAAGUAGGAGGUCUGGUUGAAGUCGACCCUCUUGUUAGCCUGCACAAUGAAGCGGUGCUGUUCUCCGAAGGCCCGUAUGACACUGGCUCCCUGCACCGUCUCGUUGAAGUGGGUGUAGAUGGGCGAGCGGCUCACCGACUCCAGCCUCCGCAGCUGGCAGGAUGUGGCCACGUAGAAACUCUGUAUAAAAAUAAAACAUUACGUUU